CCCGGCGGAGGAAUAGCCACCCCCGGCGGAGUUCCAUUCUCGGGAAGAGGCGGAGGGAACAGAAGAACAGCCGGCGACGGCGGCCCAGGCGGCGCCGGUGGUGAUAUCGGACCAGGAGCAGCUCCAGGCGACGGCGAAGACAUUGCGCAAAUGAAGAGAGAGAGAGAGAGAGAGUCAGUUGGAGUACCGAGAAGCAGCUUUAACACAUGGAGCAAAACAGUAGUGCUUGAGCAUGGAAAGUGCACCCACACGGCGUCGUAUAAGCUCUUUUCGCGGCUGAGAGCUGAGUGGACAGAGUGACAGGUCCGAGGAGAAUGAGGUGACGUCGUUUCAUGGACCCCAGCAUUUCAGCUCAUUCCCAUUUUAAAAUGGGAUAUUUCUGCAAGCUUCCUUUUACACGCGAGGAUGUAAUUAUGGUACGUACGUACGAUUACGAAUACAAAUACGAAUACUCUACUAUUACUACUACUUUACAGUGUACA